UGGGGAAUAUUGCACAAUGGGGGGAAACCCUGAUGCAGCGACGCCGCGUGAGCGAUGAAGUAUUUCGGUAUGUAAAGCUCUAUCAGCAGGGAAGAAGAUGACGGUACCUGACUAAGAAGCCCCGGCUAACUACGUGCC
rnacentral:rRNA from 1 species